UUGAAAAAAGGAAUUAUUUAAUUAUGAAUUACUAAUCGUGUAAUAUGAACGGGUUAAUUCGCGUACCCUAUUCUGAGAGCGAACAACAUGAUUGAAAGGGCAAUGUAACAUAGCAUAAUACAGUAAUAGUUCUUAAUUAAGCUAAUCAUUCACAGUACAUAUCUUGUUAUCGAAAUGAAAUAACAGCCUGUUCCACGAUAUCGAAAGAAAAUUUGUGCGAACGAAGGCGAAGUGAGUGACACUUUCGUAUCAGAAUGCGUUCCACUAACACUCGUUCUAUCUUUCGCAUAGCCUUACGUGACGCAGUAUUGCUAAAUAUACCUUUUAAAAUUUAAUCGCGAGUUUAAACAAGAAAGCACCAGAACGACUGAUCUAAACGCGAAAUAGCAAUAAACAAGUUAAAAAGCAGUAAGUUCGGCCGGGCCUGGCAAAAUUUUAACCAUAGAUAGCAUGAUUACAACAGACAGACGGACAUAAAUCGACUUAGAAUUUCGAGGAGUUACAAACGGAAUGACAAAGUUAAUAUACCCUCCAUUGUAUGGUGGAGAGUAUAAAAAUACAACCAUGCGUAAGCUGGCUCUGCUGCGGACGCAUUUAAGAGAUACUUCUUAUUUGUUUGAAGUACCUAACAACUACUUUGUGGCCAAUUUUCGUGUGUCGUAGGAAGUUUUCCGGGCUCUUUUAGAUAUGCUAGAAGAUAAAUGGUUUCCCGGUUGUAGAACAACCCAUGUACGCCCUGAUUUAAAAAUUGGCACAUUCUUGCGGUUUUUGGCGGCAGAAGCAACUAGCAGCAUUUAGAGAAUGAAGUCCUGACUUCAACGCGAAGUCUACAGUGAGCAGAACCCAUGCUGAAUGUCUGCAGAUUUUUAAGAACCACAUUCGCGGCCAAUGGAUAAUUAAAGAAUGUAAAAUUACCAGUUUUUUUUAUUAAAAUAAAAUAUAUAAUUCCAAAA